rnacentral:tRNA from 3 species
GCAGGUGUAGUUCAGUGGUAGAACCUCAGCCUUCCAAGCUGAUCAUGUGGGUUCGAUUCCCAUCACCUGCUCCA